rnacentral:rRNA from 1 species
AUGUGGGGGAUAACCAUUGGAAACGAUGGCUAAUACCGCAUGAUGCCUACGGGCCAAAGAGGGGGACCUUCGGGCCUCUCGCGUCAGGAUAUGCCUAGGUGGGAUUAGCUAGUUGGUGAGGUAAGGGCUCACCAAGGCGACGAUCCCUAGCUGGUCUGAGAGGAUGAUCAGCCACACUGGAACUGAGACACGGUCCAGACUCCUACGGGAGGCAGCAGUGGGGAAUAUUGCACAAUGGGCGCAAGCCUGAUGCAGCCAUGCCGCGUGUGUGAAGAAGGCCUUCGGGUUGUAAAGCACUUUCAGUCGUGAGGAAGGUAGUGUAGUUAAUAGCUGCAUUAUUUGACGUUAGCGACAGAAGAAGCACCGGCUAACUCCGUGCCAGCAGCCGCGGUAAUACGGAGGGUGCGAGCGUUAAUCGGAAUUACUGGGCGUAAAGCGCAUGCAGGUGGUUUGUUAAGUCAGAUGUGAAAGCCCGGGGCUCAACCUCGGAAUUGCAUUUGAAACUGGCAGACUAGAGUACUGUAGAGGGGGGUAGAAUUUCAGGUGUAGCGGUGAAAUGCGUAGAGAUCUGAAGGAAUACCGGUGGCGAAGGCGGCCCCCUGGACAGAUACUGACACUCAGAUGCGAAAGCGUGGGGAGCAAACAGGAUUAGAUACCCUGGUAGUCCACGCCGUAAACGAUGUCUACUUGGAGGUUGUGGCCUUGAGCCGUGGCUUUCGGAGCUAACGCGUUAAGUAGACCGCCUGGGGAGUACGGUCGCAAGAUUAAAACUCAAAUGAA